rnacentral:rRNA from 1 species
UACAGAGGUGGCAAGCGUUGUUCGGAAUUACUGGGCGUAAAGGGCGCGUAGGCGGUCUUCUAAGUCUUGUGUGAAAUCCCUCGGCUCAACUGAGGAACUGCACGGGAUACUGGAAGACUUGAGUUCGGGAGAGGGAAGCGGAAUUCCGGGUGUAGCGGUGAAAUGCGUAGAGAUCCGGAGGAACACCAGUGGCGAAGGCGACACGCUGGGCCAUACCUGACGCUAAAGCGCGACAGCAUGGGGAGCAAACGGG